rnacentral:rRNA from 1 species
GAUGAACGCUAGCGGCAGGCUUAAUACAUGCAAGUCGAGGGGCAGCAUGAGUGUAGCAAUACAUUUGAUGGCGACCGGCAAACGGGUGCGGAACACGUACGCAACUUUCCUCUAAAGCGGGGCAUAGCUCGGAGAAAUCCGGAUUAAUACCCCAUAACAUUGCAGAUAGGCAUCUAUCAACAAUUAAAGAUUUAUCACUUAGAGAUGGGCGUGCGGCUGAUUAGGUAGUUGGCGGGGUAACGGCCCACCAAGCCUGCGAUCAGUAACUGGUGUGAGAGCACGACCAGUCACACGGGCACUGAGACACGGGCCCGACUCCUACGGGAGGCAGCAGUAAGGAAUAUUGG